rnacentral:rRNA from 1 species
UACGAAGGGGGCUAGCGUUGUUCGGAAUUACUGGGCGUAAAGCGCGCGUAGGCGGACCCUUAAGUCGGGGGUGAAAGCCCGGGGCUCAACCCCGGAAUUGCCUUUGAUACUGAGGGUCUUGAGACCGGGAGAGGAGAGUUGAAUUCCCAGUGUAGAGGUGAAAUUCGUAGAUAUUGGGAAGAACACCCGUGGCGAAGGCGGCUCACUGGUCCGGUUCUGACGCUGAGGUGCGAAAGCGUGGGGAGCAAACAGG